GAUGAACGCUGGCGGCGUGCCUAAUACAUGCAAGUCGAGCGAACAGACGAGGAGCUUGCUCCUCUGACGUUAGCGGCGGACGGGUGAGUAACACGUGGAUAACCUACCUAUAAGACUGGGAUAACUUCGGGAAACCGGAGCUAAUACCGGAUAAUAUAUUGAACCGCAUGGUUCAAUAGUGAAAGACGGUUUUGCUGUCACUUAUAGAUGGAUCCGCGCCGCAUUAGCUAGUUGGUAAGGUAACGGCUUACCAAGGCAACGAUGCGUAGCCGACCUGAGAGGGUGAUCGGCCACACUGGAACUGAGACACGGUCCAGACUCCUACGGGAGGCAGCAGUAGGGAAUCUUCCGCAAUGGGCGAAAGCCUGACGGAGCAACGCCGCGUGGGUGAUGAAGGUCUUCGGAUCGUAAAACUCUGUUAUUAGGGAAGAACAGAUGUGUAAGUAACUAUGCACGUCUUGACGGUACCUAAUCAGAAAGCCACGGCUAACUACGUG
rnacentral:rRNA from 1 species